AGAGCUGCUAGAGGUAUAAUCUGUUUGAGGUAGAAGGAGGAAAAAGAAAAACCAAAGCACAAAAACCUUAGGUUUAUAUUUUGUUAUUGUUAGAGUUAACAGUAAAAGUCAAAGCUUAGGGAGUGAGUAAGUUUUGACUCUGUAGAGCAUCUGCUGGCUAAUCAAAGCAGAUAUUCUAGACUUUACUUUCCAACUGUUCUUUAGAUUGAAUGUUUACAGUCAAUAAAAAGAUAAUAUAUUUUUCUUGCUCUGAGAAGGAUUUUGGUAUUUAACUGGCUGCUUUUUGCAUCCUAAAUGGAGUAAAUUAACUCACUUUCAGUACACAUCGAGAAUUUAUUAUUAACUGUUAGGCUUGAACAAGUUGAUUUUUUUUUCUUAGAUUUUACUUCUGUAGCAGGUAGGAGCUGAAAUGAGAUUCUUCUCACACUGCAUCAAUUUCCACAUCUUAUCUCAAGCGCUUUUUAUUUCUUGAGAAUAUGUAGGCAUGUAUAUAGAAGCUUUAAAAAAAAAAAGUGUGUGAGAAGAUCACAUUUUUGAUAAUCUGUUUGAUUCUUCAGCUGUUGUUUUCAGGAAAAAAAAUGAGAAAACGCAAUUAGUAACAACAGUAGUUUAUGCUUUGAAGUGAGCGCUCCCAGUAUGGGAAGAGAUGGGAGUGGAGGCAGUAUUCCACCUGAAUUGUACAAGUGUGGAGGAGCUUUUCAUUCUUGAAGUGCCAAGAAACGUGUGGAGCCCUUGUCUCUGCUAUAGGAAGGCUAAGCACUGAAGAUGAGGAUGUGUUUCUGCAGCUAAUUGCCCAUGUGAUACCAAGGUCCUGCUCUGCUGUGGGCUGCAAGGCGCUGCAGGCACUGGAGACUCCAAACCUUAGGCUUUGAUGCAUCAGUCAGUGCGAAGAGCAAGCUGGCCUUGUUAAGGUGCCUUCGCUUUGAUACCAUAAACAACAGAGACUCGGGGGCUGCUGGCCACCAAGGCAGGCACUGAUUAUUUAGUUCUGGUUUAUGUUUUCUGUAUGUGAAGCAGUAUAAUUGAAAUCAUUAUUUUUUUUUAGUCUGACUGUUGUGACAUCUGUGAAUAUAAAGGCAUUUUUUUAAUCUCUCGAGUAAAAUAUUGUUAAUUGCUGGCUCAGACAGAUUAAGUGAGUAGAAAGGAUAAUGUGCAGGGAACUAUACUCAGAAAUAACAGAUAAGACCCUGAUUGGUAUACAAAUGUAUAGUAAACUUAAUUGUAUGGGGUAUUGCGUCUAGCAUAAUUUUUUCAUCAUAAUGGAAUGAAACCACGCUUCUUUAGAAAUCAGAUAAAGAAAAAUUGAACAGCUCAUUUUAGAAACUUCUGCAUAAUACUCUCAGACCCCUUAAUUGUUCUCAUAAAUGCAGAGAGUUAUAUUUGGACUACCUAGCCCAGAUAAAAUAAGACCUCACACAACCCUCUUAUGUGCCGAAAGUGGCACUCAGACAUCACAGUCUGUGA